CGGUCGCUCGCUGAAGGAGAAGCAUUACGAGAGAGAGGGAGGUAAAAUAAUCUUUUAGAGGUUGCGUCUCGAUGCUGAUCAGGAGAUGCUUUAUCUCUCUCCCACAUUAUUGCGAGCCGGUUUUAACAUAUCCUUCGUUUCUCAUAGCUGUCAACUCUCAAUCUGUUUUCUCUGGACAGUAGAGGUGGCAAAUAUUUUUCACAAAUGAGUUGAAUGUGGGUUAUGAAGUUGUAAUGGGUCAUGACCCACAUUCCACUCAUUUUAAGUUCAAUUUUAUAUGAGUCGAAAAUGAGUCACACAUUCUGACCCAAUUCGACUCAUUUUUAAAAUCCAAAAAACAUGAACUUCGUCAGCCGCUAACCUUCGACCUUCACCCUCAACCUUCACCAUUGUCACCGCUGAACCAUUCUCGACCCACCUCUGCCGCUCGCCUCUGAACCGCCUCCGCCACUCGCUGCCGCAGCUCGCCUCCAAGUCGCCUCCGCCGCCCGCCUCUGAGGCUCGCCUCCACUGCUCCCUCGAAGGUCGACGAGCUUCGUCACCCACCUCCGCCGCUCGCCUCCGCAGCUCGCCCACGAAAUCGGAGGUGUCCGGGCCGACGCCCUGCGGUUCAGCCUCCAAGGCGUCAAGAGCGAGAUCGUCAGAUCUCGCCCUCUCGAAUCCACCUACCAAUCGGUCUGCAGAAAGAUUGAUGGUUGUCCAGAUGGGACUAGCGUUCUGGAACGUGUAUCUGAAGGUGUUGGUGUCUACUACAUGCACGGAGAUGGUUAUGCCCCUGUCCAGUAGUCCAGAUACAAGCAUGUUUCCUACGUAUGAUUUUAAUUUUUCUGCUUUCCAAGAGGAGUGUUGGACUGAUUUCAAAGUCAAUCCAAGACCAAGGUGGAUAACAACUGAAUUUGGUGGGAAAGUAAGACAUCACUGCGAUAUGUAUUUAUUUAUUUUAUAUUGAAGGUUUGCAGCAUGACAAACUUGCAUGUGUAGCUUCUUGGGUCAUAUUCCAUCCAGUUCUGUGUCCUUUUUAGCAUUUCUUAAGCAGCAUGGCAUUCCCAUCAA